rnacentral:rRNA from 2 species
AGGACCUUGUGCUUUUGGAGCGGCCGAUGCCUGAUUAGCUAGUUGGUGGGGUAAAGGCCUACCAAGGCUUCGAUCAGUAGUUGGUCUGAGAGGACGACCAGCCACACUGGGACUGAGACACGGCCCAGACUCCUACGGGAGGCAGCAGUGGGGAAUUUUGGACAAUGGGGGCAACCCUGAUCCAGCCAUGCCGCGUGAGUGAAGAAGGCCUUCGGUUGUAAAGCUCUUUCAGUCGGGAAGAAAAGGUUACGGUUAAUAACCGUAACUCAUGACGGUACCGACAGAAGAAGCACCGGCUAACUACGUGCCAGCAGCCGCGGUAAUACGUAGGGUGCGAGCGUUAAUCGGAAUUACUGGGCGUAAAGGGUGCGCAGGAGGUUUUGUAAGUCAGAUGUGAAAUCCCCGGGCUUAACCUGGGAACU